rnacentral:rRNA from 1 species
UUGGGUGGAUUAGUGGCGAACGGGUGAGUAAUACGUGGGUAACCUGCCCUCCUUUUUGGGAUAAGCCUUGGAAACGGGGUCUAAUACCGAAUAUUCUGGMGCWCUCGCAUGGRGKKKUUGGGAAAGCUUUUGUGUGAAGGGGGAUGGGCUCGCGGCCUAUCAGCUUGUUGGUGGGGUGAUGGCCUACCAAGGCGGUGACGGGUAGCCGGCCUGAGAGGGUGACCGGCCACAUUGGGACUGAGAUACGGCCCAGACUCCUACGGGAGGCAGCAGUGGGGGAUAUUGCACAAUGGGCGAAAGCCUGAUGCAGCGACGCCGCGUGGGGGAUGAAGGCUUUCGGGUUGUAAACCUCUUUCGCUAUCGAACAAGGCCCGCUUAGGGUGGGUUGAGGGUAGGUGGAGAAGAAGCGCCGGCUAACUACGUGCCAGCAGCCGCGGUAAUACGUAGGGCGCGAGCGUUGUCCGGAAUUAUUGGGCGUAAAGGGCUUGUAGGCGGCUUGUUGCGCCUGCUGUGAAAACGCGGGGCUUAACUUCGCGCGUGCAGUGGGUACGGGCAGGCUUGAGUGUGGUAGGGGUGACUGGAAUUCCAGGUGUAGCGGUGGAAUGCGCAGAUAUCUGGAGGAACACCGAUGGCGAAGGCAGGUCACUGGGCCAUUACUGACGC